AGGAGAUUGGGAGGCCCAGGCAGGUGGAUGGCUUGAGCUCAGGAGUUUGAAACCAGCUUGGGCAACAUGGCGAAACUCCAUCUCUACAAAAAAAAUACAAAAAUUAGCUGGGCAUGAUGGUGUGCAUCUGUAGUUCCAGCUUCUUGGGAGGCUGGGAUGAGAGGAUCACUUAAGCCUGGGAGGUCGAGGCUGUAGUGAGCUGAGAUCACACCACUGAACUUCAGCCUGGGCGACAGAGUGAGACAGCCAAAAUAGGGGGAAAAAAAAAAGGUGGAGGACAGAGGCAUCCUAAGGUGAUGGGAC
rnacentral:lncRNA from 1 species